GCGCUCUUCAUUCAUAAGAGUCAGCGACGAUCGAUGUUGACCGCCUUCCUCGUCUAAACCAGAAACCAGCCAUCCUGUAUUUCUUCUGAGAUGGCGAAGCAGUUUGCUGUAAGAAAUGUACACGAUAAUAUCUGAGGGGGGUUUUGGAGCUGUCUAAUUUGAUGGAGACAUCAAGGAGCAACCGCAAACCAUUUCGUGGCAUGGCCAGUGCCAGGCAUCAGUCAAGUACCUCGUGACACCUGGGCUCAGAAACUAUCCAUGACUACGACCAGAUCACCAAGCAGACAGAGAGUUUGUUCAGCCAUGGGGUGUUUCUUCUAUCUCCAAACUCAACUGUGGUCUCUGAUCUGUCAUUGCCAGCCGGAUGAAUCUGUCACAGCUCAUAUCGUUGAAACAGGGACUGCCUUUCCGCUCAUCAUGACCUCCACACACUGUCCCAGCAUGCCCUGCAGCACCUGACUGUAUCUAUGUGCUUUCGCAGAGCACAGAAAACAUGUUUUUUUCUGAUGAACAGUCAUUUCCUUGAUAGUUCACUCAUAAAUGAAUAUAAUGUGUCAUCAUUUAACCAACACUCAUGGACAGUUUCCAAACUUGAAUCAGUGUUAUGUUAGUUUUUAUUAACAUUUUUGUUCAAGUUGUUUCUGACAUUUUAAAAUAUUUAAAAAUACUUCUUCAAUAAUUUUGCUUUAUUAGCUUUAGUUUAUUUGGUUUAAUUUAAUUAAACUAAAUUAAAAUAAGAAAUGUCAACUUUGUCAGCUA